AUAGUGAUAUUAAGCAAAACCCAAAAAGCAGUCUCAGUUCGGAUUGAAGGCUGAAAUUCGCCUUCAUGAAGCCGGAAUUGCUAGUAAUGGCAGGUCAGCAUACUGCCGUGAAUACGUUCCCGGGCCUUGUACACACCGCCCGUCACACCAUGAGAGUUGGGGAUACCCGAAGCCUGUGAGCUAACAGUAAUGAAGCAGCAGUCGAAGGUAGAAUCAAUGAUUGGGGUGAAGUCGUAACAAGGUAUC
rnacentral:rRNA from 1 species